GAUGAAGAACGUAGCGAAAUGCGAUAAGUAGUGUGAAUUGCAGAAUUCAGUGAAUCAUCGAAUCUUUGAACGCACAUUGCGCCCCUUGGUAUUCCAUGGGGCAUGCCUGUUCGAGCGUCAUUUGUACCUUCAAGCCUUGCUUGGUGUUGGGUGUUUGUCUCGCCUCUGCGCGCAGACUCGCCUCGAAACAAUUGGCAGCCGGCGUAUUGAUUUCGGAGCGCAGUACAUCUCGCGCUUUGCACUCAGAACGACGACGUCCAAAAGUACAUUUUUACACUCUUGACCUCGGAUCAGGUAGGGAUACCCGCUGAACUUAAGCAUAUCAAUAAGCGGAGGA
rnacentral:misc_RNA from 1 species